rnacentral:rRNA from 1 species
AGUCAAUAGAUACCCGGGUAGUCCACGCCGUAAACGAUGAGUACUAGGUGUAGGAGGUAUCGACUCCUUCUGUGCCGCAGUUAAACACAAUAAGUACUCCGCCUGGGAAGUACGGUCGCAAGAUUAAAACUCAAAGGAAUUGGCGGGGGCCCGCACAAGCAGCGGAGCAUGUGGUUUAAUUCGAAGCAACGCGAAGAACCUUACCUAGACUUGACAUCUCCUGAAUAGCGCAGAGAUGCGUGAAGCCCUUCGGGGCAGGAAGACAGGUGGUGCAUGGUUGUCGUCAGCUCGUGUCGUGAGAUGUUGGGUUAAGUCCCGCAACGAGCGCAACCCCUAUUAUUAGUUGCUACCAUUAAGUUGAGCACUCUAAUGAGACUGCCUGGGUUAACCGGGAGGAAGGCGGGGAUGACGUCAAAUCAUCAUGCCCCUUAUGUCUAGGGCUACACACGUGCUACAAUGGUGAGAACAACGAGAUGCAAUACCGCGAGGUGGAGCAAAACUUGAAAACUCAUCUCAGUUCGGAUUGUA